rnacentral:rRNA from 1 species
UAAUACAUGCAAGUCGAACGCGUCUCCGUUAAUGAUUUUAGGUGCUUGCACUUGAAAGAUUUAACAUUGAGACGAGUGGCGAACUGGUGAGUAACACGUGGGUAACCUGCCCUUGAAGUAGGGGAUAACACUUGGAAACAGGUGCUAAUACCGUAUAACAACCAAAACCACCUGGUUUUGGUUUAAAAGACGGCUUCGGCUGUCACUUUAGGAUGGACCCGCGGCGUAUUAGCUUGUUGGUAAGGUAACGGCUUACCAAGGCGAUGAUACGUAGCCGACCUGAGAGGGUAAUCGGCCACAUUGGGACUGAGACACGGCCCAAACUCCUACGGGAGGCAGCAGUAGGGAAUCUUCCACAAUGGACGAAAGUCUGAUGGAGCAACGCCGCGUGAGUGAUGAAGGGUUUCGGCUCGUAAAACUCUGUUGUUGGAGAAGAACAGGUGUCAGAGUAACUGUUGACAUCUUGACGGUAUCCAACCAGAAAGCCACGGCUAACUACGUGCCAGCAGCCGCGGUAAUACGUAGGUGGCAAGCGUUGUCCGGAUUUAUUGGGCGUAAAGCGAGCGCAGGCGGUUUUUUAGGUCUGAUGUGAAAGCCUUCGGCUUAACCGGAGAAGUGCAUCGGAAACCGGGAGACUUGAGUGCAGAAGAGGACAGUGGAACUCCAUGUGUAGCGGUGAAAUGCGUAGAUAUAUGGAAGAACA